CAAUAGCGUAUAUUAAAGUUGUUGCAGUUAAAAAGCUCGUAGUUGGACUUCUGGGCUGAUUUGUUGGUCUGCCGCAAGGCUGCACUAGCGAGUUGGCCCAUCCUCUCGAAGGCUGGUGGUGCUCUUAACUGGGUGCUAUCAGAACUCGGGAUCUUUACUUUGAAAAAAUUAGAGUGUUCAAAGCAGGCUUACGCUUGAAUACAUUAGCAUGGAAUAAUGGAAUAGGACUUUGGUUCUAUUUUGUUGGUUUCUAGAACUGAAGUAAUGAUUAAUAGGGAUAGUUGGGGGCAUUAGUAUUUAAUUGUCAGAGGUGAAAUUCUUGGAUUUAUGAAAGACUAACUUCUGCGAAAGCAUUUGCCAAGGAUGUUUUCAUUAAUCAAGAACGAAAGUUAGGGGAUCGAAGAUGAUCAGAUACCGU
rnacentral:rRNA from 1 species